rnacentral:rRNA from 1 species
UACGUAGGAUGCAAGCGUUGUCCGGAUUUACUGGGCGUAAAGCGCGCGCAGGCGGCACCAUAAGUACGCAGUGAAAUCUCCCUGCUCAACGGGGAGGGUGCUGUGUAGACUAUGGAGCUAGAGGUGGGUAGAGGGUGGUAGAAUUGCUGGUGUAGCGGUGAAAUGCGUAGAGAUCAGCAGGAAUACCCGUGGCGAAGGCGGCCACCUGGGCCCAAUCUGACGCUGAGGCGCGAAGGCUAGGGGAGCGAACGGG